ensembl:lncRNA
GAAAGUUUGACGGUUUUUUGUUGCUGUUGUUACUUGUAAUCAAAAGAACACAUCUUCCUUCCCCCUCCCUCUUCCACCCCCCCCCCCCAAGUACUCGCUAUCCCAUAUUCUACUUUAGUGAUUAGAUCUAGGGUGGGCUUAAGCGUCCCAGGUGGAAUGAAGCCUUUCUAGCAGGCAGAUUAGAUCUGCUGUUCACAAAGUGCGGGCUGCCCUGAUCCUCAAUGUCAGCUGAGAAGUCAAGUGAUCCAGAGUUGCAGCUUUAAAUGUCUUGGGUCUUUGCUGUGUCACCUGAGGGACACCAAGGCUUGGGGAGAUGCCAGCGUUGCAUCAGUUGCAGCACCCCCAUCUGAGCAAAAAGACCUCUCCUCAAUUCAAACCAGUUCAAUGCAUAAUUACUAAAGCCUGCUGUAUGUAAGGCACGACACUAGGCUGGGUUGCAAAGAUAAAUAAGGCAUCUCUGCCUUCUGGGAUCUUAACACAGGAUUUACAGACUAAAAUGCCCACAGGGGCCAGGCAGGUAAAGCUCAUGAGUAGGAUAUGGGUGGAGGCAGUUGGAAAGCCAGAGCUACAGCCAAUGAUAAAAGGCUGAGAUUCAGCCACGGUGUCAGGCAGGCGAUGGAGAGAAGACCCAGGGGCAGCAACGACUGAACUCUAGCAACUUCCACAUGGGAAUUCAGGCCCAUGCCACCAGAACUUUUCAAAAAGCUUUCGAAAACUAGCUUUUUAUGUGAAAUCUCCCAAUUUUUAAGUGUUGCCUCAAAGAUGUUAAAACCUGGUGGGAUCCGAACAGCACCCAUCUGUUGGACACAUCAGACAACGGGCCAUCAGUUUAUGGCCUUAGCCGUUUGCUGGCGCACAAGUGCAGCUGGACGUUUUCCAGCUCAAGUGUUACUCAUCAACUGUCCACUUCAGGCAGUUGGUGACCCUGAGUCAGACAAGAGGAACAGAGGUAGCCCUCCCUUUCUCUUCUGCCCUGGCCCUUCACCCUAUCACCACAGUCUCCCACACUCGCCAGCUAACCGUGCAUUGCACCCGGGCAGAUCCAAGCCUCCCCUCACACCCUUUGUCCAGGGCCAGGGACCCAUGCCUGCAGGGCACUCGGGAACAGACUCCCUGGCAUAGGCAGCUCCUCCUUAGCCGGUGGACAGAGCCUGGGCCGCCGAGCUGCCCCACCAGCCACCCCAGCUCACGCUCCUUAACCCUUGCACCCCGGGCGCCGGUGUGAGGUAGGCCAGAAAGACCUCGUGCAGGGCGCGCCUAGGGCGCGAGUGGGCGCACAGGGGCCCAGGCGCUUCUCCUCCCGGUCCCCAGACGCCGUCAGCCGGUCCAGCGAGUGACCCGCGAGGACCAGCCUGCGUUUCUCUAACUGCGAGAAUUGUUGUCCCCUGGGUCGGCCACUGUCGCGAUCGCAGACAAGCGAGAGCCCAGAAAGUGAGUGAUUCCGAGGAAGAGAGCAGGUCCCCCCACGCCCACCCCGAGGACCUCGCUGGAGCGGUCGGUCUGCGAGUUUUAUGUUACGACCCAAUUCCAAGUCAAGUGUGAACAAAGCAAAUGCGGGCAGUGCGUCUAGUAAACCUGUGGACCCCCUCCUCCCACUCCCAUUGCCCGCUGUCCGCCUCCCUCCUCCCCCAGCCCCAUCCUCCCUCUGGCGCCGCGAGCCAGGGAGCGCUGCCCGUCGGCUGCAGGAGAGGAGAGGGAGCCGGAAUCGCAGCCGAACCUACCUCGCCUGCCCCGCAUGCGGGCCUGCGUGAAGUCAAGAGUGCUGGACUCCCGCGAAAGUGGCGGUGAGGCGCUUGGGCCCUGGCCUAGAGAUGCUGAAACUGAAGAUUUUUGUCCUAAGAGAGACGAAUUGGACUUAGAAGAUUCUAAAGUGAAAAAAAGCAACAAAGAGGCUUCAAGGCAGAAAGUGGUGGGACAAAGUGAAACUUCCAGGACCUCCUUUGGAGGAACCAAACAAUAGACUAGUGGUGAUGGUGGGCAAAGCCGUGAAAGUUUGGGCGGGAGAGUGGGGAAAUGUGGAGAUGUUCACAGAGACGCCUGGGGAAAUUACCCCAGAAGCAAGUUUUUGGUGAAAGUACCAUCCUUGCUGUCUUCAUGAACCACACAGGGGAGAAUGGAAAAAGCUCUGGACAGAGCUCUAACGUGGUGUGAUAUCAGAAGACACGUGCCGGAGAAAAGCCCUACCAGUGUAAGGAAUGUGGCACACGUUCCAGCCAGAGCAGAGCUGGGAGUCCACACCCAGGAGAGCCUCAGGGUGUGCAGUGAGGAGGGAGAAAGCUUUGCUUCUGGCUCACACCUCACCAUGCCCCACUCCAGGAAGAGGCCAUAUCGUUGCCUUGACUGUAAGAAAACCUUACGUGCCCCACACAGAUGGUGCAUCAGAGAAUCCACAUUGAAAUGAAAGCAAAGAAUGUAGUGAGAGUGGCAAAAGCUUCAGGUAGAGCUCAGCACCCUCAUGAGCACUAGGUGGCGACACUGAGCCAAAACUUCGUCCUUGUGUCAUGUGUGGGAAAAGCUUGAGGUAAAGCUCAUGCCUCAUGGUGCCCCAGAGAAUCCAGCUAGGGGGAGACCCUACAAUGCAAUGGUGUCAGGUGGCUUCUGCCCCAGCAUAACCUUCAUGAUGCACAGCAGAGAAGCCCUGCAAAUCCUGGAUGUGGGAAAGUUUUGGUCAUGGCACCAGCUUAAUUUUACAUUAUAGAAUCUCCUGGAGAGAAAACUUACCAGUGUUGUGCAUGGGAGAAGAGAUGUGGUGGCAGCUCUCAUCUUUGAAGAUACCAGAAAACCCACAGCUCAGGAAUGGUUCAACAGGGGAGAGUUCUAUGAGAUUCGAUUUCCUUGGUCAUAGGCAACUUACUGGGCAACGAGAGAAUUCACUACCCAAAAGGUGACUUGUCUUAUGAAUGAAAUACCACAGGAGCAAAGCUAUCUAUUGUUUUCCUUUACCCUUGGAUUAACUGUGUGGUGUUGAAUAGAUAUUCCAGGCACAGGGGGAGAGGGCGUGUGUCUUCUCACUUACCAUCUUUAUAUUGCAGCCAAUGAAAACAAUACUGAGCAAGGGUCAGAGAUGUCGAGAUCAAGACAAGAUUGCCUUGAUAUGAAGGUUCACGACCUUUGAAAUUAGUAGGGUUAUCUCAGCGAUAACUCUGAUGUUAGGGUGAACUCUGAGAGUCCACCUGUCCAGUUUUGGCUCUAUUUUCUGCCUCUGGCUAGGCAUGUUGGAUGCUGUAGGAAAAUAUUAUCCAGGUUAGCAACCACUCUGAGGUUUUUGAGAAAUACAAAUAUUUUGUGUAAUAUUAUUGAAAGACUAUUAUGUAUAGAAUAUGUACCAUCAAAGACAAACUCUAAUUUCCUCCCUUCUUUUUCUUUACUCUUCUGGGCUGCCAAAAUACAGUUUUCUGCCAGCUUUCUCACUUGUGAUGCAGUCCACAUAAACCAGCCUUUUCCCCAGCCUCUAAGUGCAUAUCUGGGGAGCAUUCCAUCUUACACCUGGCACUUCUGGGGUUUUCUUCCUUUAAGCACUCUUGGGCCUCCACCCCAACCUGCCCCUGAUGCAAUUCCUCUCAGUCAGCUUUUCCCCUGUGCCCCUUCUUUUGGAAUUGCAGUGGGUCCACGGACACUCCAACAUUAAACUCUACAUAAAACUCUGUAUAAGCGUACACUUUUCUGGGGAGAGGCUGGUGGAUUCCAACAGAUCCUAAGAGGGUUACCUGACCCCCAAAAUGUUAAGAACCAUUGCUUCAGGAACUCUUCAGUGUUCAUGUGGGUUUUUCUUCUUAGAAACCCACCACCACUGUUCCUGUGUUUCCAGCUAUAAUUUGCCCCCACAUCACUAUGGUAGUGAGAGGGGUCUUCUUUGAAAAGCCUAAGCAGUCUAGAUUUUGCCCAAUUGCCUCCUUAGGUCUGUUGAGUUUCUGGCAGUAAGGUCAUUCAGGAAAUAGAGCAGAGAGUCAAAGUUGGACGCUUCUCUGACGGAUUCUGAUUAGCAAGUUGUUACCUUACUCUUUGGGGAUGGCCAGGGAAGAAGGGACAGAGAGAUCUCUGGAAGAUUUUUUAUGGGAAGCAAAAGUGCACAUAAACAUCCCUAGCAUUCCAAGUCAUAUCUGUCCGUCAAGGCCGCCUCCUCCACAACACCCUCUGGAGCAAGUUCAGCCUCACGCGCUUGCUGGUAGACAGGCACAUGGCACAAGAGGCCAUUUGCUCCACUCCCCAUCCAAUACAGGCCCAUUCUUAAAAGAUCCUUGACAGAUGGUCAUCAGCCCGCCAUUUCCAGGGACAGGCAGCUCAGUACUCUGACCUCUCCACCUUGCAUGAAUGGACAUCUCUGAACAUUCUAACUUAUAGCUAAUACCACAUUAUUUAAGGUAACUUCUUUAUAGGGUUUUAAGAAUAAUUAUUCCAUAAAAUAUCUAUUACAGGGAUGACACAUAAAAUGUAUGUAGUGAAUAUUUGCUUGAGUGAUUUAGUUGGACUGAGGAUGUGGGACAGCACAAAAAUUAUCCAAUGGCGUGUUUCAGUUGCUCUUUUGACAGGUGUCUAGGUAUAGAAGAAGACCAGUACAGUGGUAACAGUCAUUUCACAUAGAGAAGUUCUCAACACCCCCCAAACCUCCCCUAUUUCCAUCCUCAGGCACCUUUCAGCAAAUGAUCUCACCUUGGAUUUCGUUUACUUAAUUGAGGAACAUAAUUGUAAACCUUAUCUUCCUA